UCUCUCUUUCUCUCUCUCUCUCUUUCUAUUUGUUAUCUUUAUUUAGUUCCAUUCUCAGUCUUUGAAUCUCCCUCAGUCUCUUUCUUCCUCGCCUUGCACAAAUUACAGGAAACAGAAAUUGCUUUCCGUUUAAUUUAAAACUGUAACUGUGCAGCAGGAUUGCAGAGAAGCUGACCUUACAUCAAUAUUUAAUUAACGAGAUCACAGAACAGGCAUGUUCAAAAUCUAAAUGACUUACCUUAUUUCACUGUUUGAAAAGUUUUUAUACUCCAAAAAAGAACAUCAAAUAACCCUCAGAUGAAAUAAAAAUAUAGAUAGAAAUAUAAAUAAAGAUGGCACAGAGUCUUUGACAAAUGAUGAAUGUAUUCCCAGAGCUCAACUGGUAGAGGAAGGUACUAACAACCCCAAGGCCAGGGCUCUCACACACACAUAGCACAUAUCACGACGGAAAUGGGUAUCUACACUGCACUGCAGGUCACUUUGGAUAAAAGUGCAUCUACUACGUAAAUAAAUACUAAAUAAAUACCUGUCAGUGUGAAUGUAAGGAAGCGGAAGGUGACUGCUUCGCCCUGCCUUACAGUAUCGUCUGACCCAUGCCCAAACCCAGGUACAGUAUCGUCUGACCCAUGCCCAAACCCAGGUACAGUAUCAUCUGACCCAUGCCCAAACCCAGGUACAGUAUCAUCUGACCCAUGCCCAAACCCAGUGAAUCUGAAUGGACUGUUUUACCCACUGAGGAAAAGCCUCAGUUUGACUGGAAUUAGAGUUCGAUUUGAUCUUCAUGACUGCAGACACUAGGAAGCACUCAUGUCACCCCAAUCAUAACACUACACCAAGUAAAGCCAACGUUUACAUUAGCUUUAAUGUCAAAGUUAACUCCAUCGUGAGCCGUUUCGCUUUGAAAUGAGAAAUCAUGUGAUUCGCUACUAACAUGAAAUGACCUUUGUUACUGCUCUCAGGCUCCUGACUAUAUUAAUGAAGAGGAAGUAAGAGUGUGCCCUUAGCCCGGCCGGCUGAUUCAAUCCAGCCGUCGAGUAGCUCUGCGGUUAUCAGGUGUGUACAACACAGCCAGUGGCGGACAUCAUACCUCAGCUAAAUGUCAUCUUGCUAUGAUGCAGCCAUGCAACUGACAAAGGUAAUGGCACUCUUCAUGCAAUAAACAGCUGUGACUUCUCAAGGUGUAUGCAUAUUUCAAGGUAACCAGGUAAGUGGCCUGAGAUGUCACAGCAUAUCACACUGAACUACUGUACCCAGU
ensembl:lncRNA